rnacentral:misc_RNA from 1 species
AACGCACCUUGCGCUCCUUGGUAUUCCGAGGAGCAUGCCUGUUUGAGUGUCAUUAAAUUCUCAACCUCACCAGUUUUGUUAUGAAGCUGUGUAAGGCUUGGAUGUGGGGGUUUGUGCAGGCUGCCUUUGCGCGGUCUGCUCCCCUAAAAUGUAUUAGCGAGUUCACUGAGCUCCGUCUAUUGGUGUGAUAAUUAUCUACGCCGUGGAUUGGACUUAGACUUGCUUCUAACCGUCCGAAAUGACAAUCUUAUGACAAUUUGACCUCAAAUCAGGUAGGACUACCCGCUGAACUUAA